UCCUGGGCUCAAGUGACCCUCUUGCCUCAGCCUCCCUAAAUGCUGAGAUUACAGGAGUGAGCCCUUGGGCCCUACCCUAAUAUAUUCUUAAAUGGAGUGCCUAAUACCUUUGCUUUAGAUAUAAGUACAAAGUUAAUAUCUUAGUAUAAAGUUAGUCAUACAUAAUCCAAUAACAACAUCUUGGGAUUCCUACUAGAAUGUAGGUUCUACAAAGGCUGAGACUAUGCCUACUGUAUCCCAAAUGCCUCAGUGUAUUUGACCCACAGUAAGGUAGUCAAUAAAUACUGGUUGAAUGUAUUGGCCAAACAAGAAUUGAGUUUCUACCAUAGGAUCAAUCAUUCACACAAAUAAUUAAAUAUCUUCUAUAUGCAACUCUGUGGAAAUAUUGAGAGAAACUCUACAUGGGUCCAACACACAGAAGGAGAGGAAGCACGCAGAUAAAUUUCAAAUGAAGUUAAAAAAGUGUCAUGAGAAAUGCAAAACAUUCUGGAAUUGUGAAAAAAUAGUUUUAUUUGAUAUUGAUUCAUCUGGAGUAUGUAAAGAUUAAAAAAGCAGUUUGGGGUCAGAGUGUGGAUAAUUAGUCUAAUUAUAUUAGACUAAUAAUCUGGGCUGUACUCUGCAAGCAUGGAGAGCCAUCCAGGACACUGAGCUGUGGGAGAUUCAUGAGACAGAGACAAGAAGGGAUGAAUGGAUCAGGGGAGAGGGGAGAAGAGGGGACUUUACUUAAAAAGCUGGAAGUGGAGGCCUGAAAUGAAAAGGAAAGGGGACAUUGAGUAUGCCGUGUCAAAGAAUCUAUAACAUGACCAGGUUUUCGUUUUCGGGGGGUUGGGAGGUGGCAAAGAGAAGAAUGCUGAGGACGGUGCUAGGUUUAGAGGCAGAAGGACUGAGAAGAUGGUGGGGCUGAGAACAGACAUAGGAAACUUGAGAAAAAGGGCCAUCUUAGGAAGAACAAUGACCUCAGCUUUGGAAACACUGAGUAGAAAUAGAGUCAUCUAGCCAGCAGGAUGGGAAUGAGGGAGGUCAGGGUUAGAGACACAGAUGUAGGCUUUGAGGAAUGAAGUAAAGGUAUGAUACUGCCAGGGAAGAAGUCAUGGAAAGAGAAGUACAGAGAUGAUCCUUAGGGAAACUUUACAUCUAAGGGCCAAGAAAACAAUGAUGAUACGCCAGCAGGAGAAGCAGGAGAAAACAGGGUCAUGGAAAUCAAGGAAAGACAGUUUAAGAAAGGCUGGCCCGGUUAACAGGAAGCAGAUGGUAGCCUGCUACAGAGUGGUUGAUUUCAGUGAUUUCUUCUCACAUCUGCAACUGGAAUUGUACUUUCAACACGGGUCAUCCAUCAGAGCACACAGAAAUACCUCUCUUGCCUUUUGACUCUGUAAAACUGGGAAUUAUUUUUUUUCAGCAAGGAUACCCAACACUCCACAUACUUAUUAAUAAAUAAUAUUCAUCCUGAUUAUUAAACUGCUUUUUUCUAAAACACUAGCGAAGGAUGAAUCUAUUUGUGUGAAUAGUACAGUGACAUUGCAUGGGGCUUUCCUAUUCCCAACACACCUUAUCUUAUGGGCUAUCUCCUGGGCUAUGGUGUUAUGGUGUUAUCUCAUGGGCUCCUCGCAGUGACCCUGUGACACAGGGUUGGUACUUUUUUGUGUUACAGAUGAGAAAAUGGAAGCUCAAGGAUGGGUGACUUUUCUAAGACUACAGGUAGUAAGUGGUAACACAGAUGCAGAACUGAGUCUCUAUCUCUACAAACAUCAAGACUAUUGACUCAGUCACCACCGUAACUACAGAUAUGUCAAUACUUACCUGGCAAAGCAAUUUGAAGCCCCUAAAGGAUCGAUGACCUUUGGUUCGAAUUAGUGAGUUUUAAUGAGUUUAAAAUAAUGAUAGAUACAAUAUGACUCAAUUCAACACUUGGGUAGAGAUGGACCACCACAUUCUGAACCAUGUUCAGCUUGGAAGCUUGACUAUCGGGAAGGAAGGGCACACCUGCCUAGCCUGCUGAAUCAAACAUAGAGAUCAAUGAAACCUACAGUGUUUGUUACUGUACACUGAAUCACAUGGAAUGUGAUUGCUAGAACUUUAAAAGAACCCUUUGAAAGAACCAAAAGGCCUUUUAAUAGGUGAAUGGUUAAACUGUGGUAUAUCCAUACCCUGGAAUAUUAUUCAGCAAUUAAAAAGAACACUAUUACACUAUUGAUACAUGUAACAACCUGGAUGGACAUCAAUGCUGAACAAGAAAAACCAGUCUUAAAGGUCACAUACUAUAUGAUUCCAUUUGUAUAACAUUUUCAAAAUGACAAAAUUAUACAGAUGGAAAACAGAUCAAGAUUGUCAAAGGGUAGAGAGGAAGGUCAUUGUGAUUAAACAGGCUAGAAUGAGGGAGAUCUUUGUGUGAUGGAAUAGUUCUGUUACCUUCAUUGCAGUGGUGGUUAUGGCACAGAUGGUUAGGCACAGUGGCCCAUGCCCGUAAUCCCAGCACUUUGGGAAGCUGACAGACAUGGUAACUGACUUGGAGGACAUAAAGCUACAUCAAAAUCCACUUCCCAAGCUGACAGCAGGGGAGAACUAAGAGCAAUCCAGAUUAACACUGUAGAGCCUUAAAAAUCAUAGGAAUCCCUGGAGCAGCAUGCACCUCUUUGAUUGGGGUAAGGUGAAUGAAGAGGAAGAGAGCACCAAAAUACGGAGGACUAAGGGAAGAAGGUUGUUUGAAACUAAGAUUCCUAGAUCACAUGUCUCUCUACCUCCGCUUUUCCCCUUUCCCCAUAAACCCUAAUGGCUGUCCUUCCCCCUCCCUAGCAGAAGUCUGCUUUUCUGGAAAUAAAAUCAUCUGUGCAAAGGAAGUCAAUAUUAGGCACAGCUGAAGACAUGGGCACUACAGGAAAAACAGGUAGGUAUACAUAUAUGUAUAUAGUUAAUUCUCAUUAUUUGUAGUCAUGUUCUAUGAAGUUACUGCAAGCACUGAAUUAGCAAAUACUGAAACAUUCGUCCUAGAGGAAAUAGAGGGUUAGGUUCCUGUGAGUAUCUGGUCACAUUUGUGUCAAUGGAUCAAUACAAAAACUUGUGUUAUGUGCGUGUCUAUGUAAAGACACCUUAUUUAAUAUGUAUUGUUGAUUCAAUGACAUUGAACUCAUGCCUGAAUGAAGGUUGGCUAACACACAUUAUUUUCUCCUCAAGCACAUCAUAACCUUGCAUAGAACACUAAAUGGCACUUCAGCACUAUGCUUGGCAGCCAUUUUAAGCUGUGAAAUUGCCAAAGAAAAAGCACAAAAAUGCAAAAAAUAUGACAUUAAAUAGUCCACAAGAAGCACACUUGUUUAUAGUAUGAGUGCUGAAACAAGGCAGCAGAACAUCACCUUGUUCAACCUUAGUAGGGAAAACGUGUGUCAGAAGACUCAACAUUACCACUAUGUGCAUGUAUGCCAAUGACUGUAAAUGUGCCACAUGUAUUGAUGUUGGUCUUGUAAGUACAUUUUUAGUGAGAUGAGUUUGCAAAUAGGGAAUCCAUAAAUAAUGAUGUUCAACUAUAUAUGCAUGCGUGUCUCUAUAUACAUGUAUAUGUGUACAUAUAUACGAUCUAGUGAAUAAUCUCAUGGAUAGUGAUACUGAAAGCAGAGAAUACCACCAUGCCCAUCUUCCUCUACUUUGCUUAUAGAACUCUACCUGGAAGAUCCUUAUCUUCAAGGCAGAAUGAAACUUCCCUGGGAAUCUAACCAUUUUGUGAUGAAAUAUCUAAAGAUACCAAUAUUGGGAGAUUCCCAAACAGCUCACCCAGAUGACCUUACGGUAAAGCUCAGUCAUCAAAUGCUACUUACUCAUUCACAAUUUCUAGUGAAUUUUUCCUCCAACCUUAAUCAUGAGCAGACAGGAAUUUCCAAAGAUCUAAGGAAAGCCUCUAAUAUGUAAGUCCAAACAGACAAAAAAGCAAUUUAAAGGAAAAUUAAAGCUCUUGGAAAUGAAAAGAAGUCUUAUAAAAGAAAUGAAAAACUCAAUAGAAGGUUGGAAGAUAAAAUUAGGGAAAUCUCCCAGAAAGAGUAAAAUGGCGGGAAAAUGGGAAAGAAACAUGAGUGAAUUAGAAUACCAGUCCAGAUAGUUCUGCUCCAAAUAACACAAGUUCAAGAGGGAAAAAGGAGAAAAUACAAUGAAGCAAAUACAUUUUUAACAGUUUCUAGAAGUGAAGGACAUCAGGCUCCUGGUUGAAAGGACCCAGUACAAUGGAUAAAACUAGAUCUACAACAAACAUCAUUGUGAAGUUUCAGAACACUGAAGAUAGAGAUUCUACAGACUUCCAGAGAAAAGACCAAUUACAUACAAACUAUCAGGAAUCAGAAUGGCUUCAGAUUCCCAAACAGCAAAAUUGGAAAUGGAAAUUAAUGGAGAAAAUCUAUUAAGCUUCUGAGGUAAAAUAAUCUGCAGCUAGAAUUCUAUACCCAGUCAAGCUACCAAUCCAACUGGGAGUAGAAUACAUUUCUAAACAUCCAAGUUCUCAAAAAGUUUACAUCCCACAUAUCCCAUCUUGUGAAUUGCUGGAGGAUGUGAUCUGCAAAAAUACAGCAAGACCAACCCCUACUCCUACUACUCAAUGUGAUGAAGAUGAGGAUGAAGAACUUUAUGAUGAUCCACUUCUACUUAAUGAACACCAGAUGCCAUGUAAAAAGAAUGUGACUGCUCUCAGGAAACCAUACUGUGAGGAACCCAAGGUACAAGGAAAAGCCAUGGAGGAUCAGAUGCCACGUGGAUAGAGGGGGUGAGAUCAAAGAGGAACAAGGCACAAGCAGUUAGUGAAGAAGCCAUCUUGGAAGUGGACUGGUCGAACCCCAGCACGUCAUCUGAUGUCACAUGGAUCAGAAGCAAACCUCUGAGCUGAGUACUUCCCAAAUUCCUCACUCAUAGGAUUGUGAGUAAAAUAAAUAGUUGUUUUAAGCCACUAAGUUUUGGGGUGUUUUGUUAUAAAGCAGUUGGUAACCUGAACACUAUUUCAAGCCUUUUAUCUUACAAAUGAUAAUACGAAGGCCUAGAGAGCCUCCUGAGUUGCUAGAUCUCAAACGGGCACUGAGUGACAAAGAUGACGCUCAUACCUGGGCCUUCUUACUUCAAGUCCUACACUUUAGUCAAAUGAGCUUCACAGCUACGUCAUAGAGAAAACUGCCUCAGAUCUUCAUGUUGCAUGUGCUGGUUUAUAAUUAGAAAUGAUGAGUCAAUGACAUGAAUGAUGUAGCAAUGAAAGUGAUGUGAAAUUGUAGGGACUAGUUGUAUGAAAAAAUAAAUCAGAAAGAUAUGACUACAGGCAAUUAAAGAAAUGCAAUACUCAUUUAAAAAAUUUACCGA